UGUAACUUGAAAUGCUCCCUAGUCUAAUGAACAUCUUUACUUUUCUAGUGCCUGUCUAGACAUUGACCACAAUGGCUAGAAGAUUGCUCUUCAUAUUGUGAAACUCCUUUUCCCACCAAUUAUACCUAUAAAAGGUGCCUCAAUUCUCUCAAAAUCAUUCCACAAAACUUUCCUCGCAGCUCUCACUUUAUCUUUCCCAACUGUUCUACGCUUUCGUUUCACGAACCACUCCUGUCAACAUGUCCUUUUUCCGAAGCAGCAGCAGCAGUAGCUACUCGAGACACUCAAGCCCCUUCCUCCCAGUGGUCUCCACUCUGCCCCUUCCACUAGUAGAUGACUCAGCCAGUGUCGUGAGCGAACACAGUGUGCACGAGGACCAUGGACUCGGAGGAUACCGACACGAGCGAUCCCGCCGAAGGGAGCGACGAGUUAACGGAGGCUUCCCUAUCCUGAUCGGAGGAAUCGGCUCCUACUCCAGCAGCCUCUACAGCAGCCAUCACUCGUCCUUCUAACCAAUCUCCCCUCCCCCUCAUCUCCAGGCUUCUUCUUGGCAAUAAAUGAACCCCGAAAACACUGGGAACUACGAAAAGAAGCAUACAAAGGGAACGCUCAUGCAAUAAA